CGUAGGGUGCAAGCGUUGUCCGGAAUUAUUGGGCGUAAAGAGCGCGUAGGCGGUCUGUCGCGUCGGACGUGAAAAUCCAGGGCUCAACCCUGGACCUGCGUUCGAUACGGGCAGACUAGAGUUCGGUAGGGGAGACUGGAAUUCCUGGUGUAGCGGUGAAAUGCGCAGAUAUCAGGAGGAACACCGGUGGCGAAGGCGGGUCUCUGGGCCGAAACUGACGCUGAGGAGCGAAAGCGUGGGGAGCGAACAGGAUUAGAUACCCUGGUAGUCCACGCCGUAAACGUUGGGCGCUAGGUGUGGGGAACCUUCCACGUUCUCCGUGCCGCAGCUAACGCAUUAAGCGCCCCGCCUGGGGAGUACGGCCGCAAGGCUA
rnacentral:rRNA from 1 species